rnacentral:rRNA from 1 species
UACCAGCACCCCGAGUGGUCGGGACGAUUAUUGGGCCUAAAGCAUCCGUAGCCGGUCCUACAAGUCUUCCGUUAAAUCCACCUGCUUAACAGAUGGGCUGCGGAAGAUACUAUAGGGCUAGGAGGCGGGAGAGGCAAGCGGUACUCAGUGGGUAGGGGUAAAAUCCUCUGAUCCAUCGAAGACCACCAGUGGCGAAGGCGGCUUGCCAGAACGCGCUCGACGGUGAGGGAUGAAAGCUGGGGGAGCAAACCGG